GCCGCUGCGGGCGGAAAGAAGUGGAGAGAAGGAAGCAGGAGCGCCCCCGGGCUCAAACUUAAAACUGGUAACCAAAUGACGAUUCCAAGAUGGAUAUAUCCAGUCCUGGAGACAGUCUUGUGAAUUUGGGAGGUCCAGAGAUCCUAAGAUUUCAGUAGUGUUGAAGAAAAAAAAAUAUGAAUACUGUACUCUGAAGUCUGCCAGAAACCAUUUUAUUUAAUUUAUCAUUAAUCUACUAUCUAAGCAUUUCUAGCUUGGAGAAAUGUACAAACUGGUAUAGUCCUUUGUUCCCUCUAACAUGUCUCUAUAUUGUAAGAUGAUUUGGCAUAACAUUUAUAUGAAUCUUAAAUAAGGAAAAUAUACUAGGUCAAAAUAAAACUUUGGAUUAACAUUC